rnacentral:rRNA from 1 species
UACGGAGGAUGCAAGCGUUAUCCGGAUUCAUUGGGUUUAAAGGGUGCGUAGGCGGACUAUUAAGUCAGUGGUGAAAGCCUGCAGCUUAACUGCAGAACUGCCAUUGAUACUGAUAGUCUUGAGUUUGGUUAAGGUAGUCGGAAUGUGUAAUGUAGCGGUGAAAUGCUUAGAUAUUACACAGAACACCAAUUGCGUAGGCAGCUUACUGAGCCGACACUGACGCUGAGGCACGAAAGCGUGGGGAGUCGAACA